rnacentral:rRNA from 1 species
UGGGGAAUAUUGGACAAUGGGGGAAACCCUGAUCCAGCAAUGCCGCGUGUGCGAUGAAAGCCUGCGGGUUGUAAAGCACUUUCGGUGGGGAAGAAAUGCUCAAAUAUAAUUCAUUUGAGAGCUGACGUUACCCACAGAAGAAGCACCGGCAAACUCUGUGCCGGCAGCCGCGGUAAUACAGAGGGUGCAAGCGUUAGUCGGAGUUACUGGGCGUAAAGGGCGUGUAGGCGGAUAUCUCAGCCAAUUGUGAAAUCCCUGGGCUUAACCUAGGAAUUGCAGUUGAUACUGGAUGUCUUGAGUAUGGUAGAGGAAAGUGGAAUUCUCGGUGUAGUGGUUAAAUACGUAGAUAUCGAGAAGAACGUCGGUGGCGAAGGCGACUUUCUGGGCCAAUACUGACGCUGAGGCGCGAAAGCGUGGGGAGCAAACAGG